GGUUAGUCAUUGUGUAUAAUAUUUAUGCUUGUUAACUUAUAGUUAUUAGUUUUAAGUAUUUUAACUUAUUUUGAUAAUUAUAUUAUGGUAUAUAAAUUUCCAAAUUGUAUUAGUUGGAAAUGUAUACUAUCAUGGAACCGCGAUAGCGCAUUGUAAAAGAGGGAAAUACAAACCGGUCAAAGUUUUAGGCGGGAUAUUUUGACAUGUCGCCAUCAACAGUGUAAUGCGUUUGGUGGUUUAUUGUUUUCGGCGACUCGUCACUCCUCCUUGCAGCCGCCUCCUUCGCAUCUGCAGAGAUAUCGUUUUGCAAAUUGUAAAACCUAACGGGACAUACGAGCGCACACACGAAAACCAUUUCGAUUGUAACGAUGACCGUCUUUGUUUAAGCGUCUGUCAAAAUAUUUUGAUUUAGACACUUAUAUUGAGUAGCUUUUACCAAUUACAGUUAUAUAAUAUGUGUUAUGUGCAUCAAAAAUACACAUGAUAUUAUAAUAUUGAUUUACGCGUAAUGCCCACCUAUAAUAUACGAUGGCCAUUUAAGUACACUUUUAACAUUGAUGGUGAGUGAUACUAAAAGCGUAAAUAAUAAGUAAUUAAAAAUGCAUAUCUAUGUGAUAGUUUUUUUUAUAAUAAUUCUAAAAAAAUAAUAUUAUGAUGCAAUACAAAA